rnacentral:snRNA from 1 species
GAACUUAUUGGCAAGGGAUAUUUCAUGAAUGUGCUUUUCCAAGGAUGAUAUUUACUCACUGGACUCUGAAUUCGGAUACCUGUGACUUCCCUAAAUGUGGGAAACUUGACUACACAAUUUGUUGUAGAAAAAGUUUGAAUUAACUUUUU